GGUUUUCAGGUAAUUAUUGAAAAUCAGGCCUGCUCAAUGUCAUAUUAAAUAGCCGCGGUAUUUUGACCGUGCAAAGGUAGCAUAAUAAUUUGUCUUUUAAUUUAGGACUAGAAUGAAUGGUUAAACUAAGUAAACUUGUCUUGUAAAGAUAUUUUGAAUUUUACAUUUUAGUAAAAAGGCUAAAAUUUAUUUUAGGGACGAAAAGACCCUGUCAAACUUUACAAAUUAUCUUGUUUUUCUUAAAACAAGUUAGAUUUGUUUAACUGGGGCAGUAAAUAAAAUAAUUUUGUUUUAAUAAUAUGAAAAUUCUUCUUUGCGAAUCGGAAACUUUCCAAUUAAGAAUAAGUUACUGCAGGGAUAACAGCGUAAUUCUUUUUACGAGUACUUAUCAAUAAAAGAGUUUGCGACCUCGAUGUUGGAUUAAAAUUCCUAAUUCACGCAAUAGUGAAAUAAGGAAGUCUGUUCGACUUUUAAUAUUUUCCA
rnacentral:rRNA from 1 species